GACGAACGCUGGCGGCGUGCUUAACACAUGCAAGUCGAACGGAAAGGCCCUGCUUUUGUGGGGUGCUCGAGUGGCGAACGGGUGAGUAACACGUGAGUAACCUGCCCUUGACUUUGGGAUAACUUCAGGAAACUGGGGCUAAUACCGGAUAGGAGCUCCUGCUGCAUGGUGGGGGUUGGAAAGUUUCGGCGGUUGGGGAUGGACUCGCGGCUUAUCAGCUUGUUGGUGGGGUAGUGGCUUACCAAGGCUUUGACGGGUAGCCGGCCCGAGAGGGUGACCGGCCACAUUGGGACUGAGAUACGGCCCAGACUCCUACGGGACGCAGCAGUGGGGAAUAUUGCACAAUGGGCGGAAGCCUGAUGCAGCCACACCGCGUGCGGGAUAACGGCCUUCGAGUUGUAAACCGCUUUCGCCUGUAACGAAGCGUGAGUGACGGUAAUUGGUAAAGAAGCACCGGCUAACUACGUG
rnacentral:rRNA from 1 species